rnacentral:rRNA from 1 species
CAGUCGCCACGGUAAUACGUAGGUGGCAAGCGUUGUUCGGAAUUAUUGGGCGUAAAGGGCGCGUAGGCGGUUCGGCAAGUUUGGUGUGAAAUCUUCGGGCUCAACUCGAAGUCUGCAUCGAAAACUGCCGGGCUUGAGUAUGGGAGAGGUGAGUGGAAUUUCCGGUGUAGCGGUGAAAUGCGUAGAUAUCGGAAGGAACACCUGUGGCGAAAGCGGCUCACUGGACCAUAACUGACGCUGAGGCGCGAAAGCUAGGGGAGCAAACAGGAUUAGAUACCCCCGUAGUCCCUGUCUCUUAUAC